AUUAAGUACUACUGGAAUUCAAAGCAGAAGAUAGAUUUUGACCCGGUGAGAAUGAGUUCCAGGCAAAAGGAAGUGGAAUAAAUGAGCAAAGAUGAGAAUGUGAGAGAUGUGUUCAGGGAACAGAAGUAAUUCCGUUUCGGACUUGAAGGAAUAGGAAUCCCUAUUGGAGUGGCUGGAGGAACUGAAGUUUGCCUGGCAGACGCCUGGUGUGAUCUCCAUGGAUGGGGAAUCUGGAUGCCCUGCCUACCUUCCCUGCAGCCAGUUCCCAGGAGAGAAAGGGCUCAAGCCCUAGGCAGGAGAGUUUCUUUUCCAAGAAUGUAGUUCAAUACACUGAAGCCUGUGUGAUGUUUGGAUUCUAAUCAUCUUUUUGCUGCCUGUUCUGCUAACCAGAAAGUGAGCUGCUUGUGGGCAGGAACCAUUUCUGUCUUUGUAGAGACAGAGGCUGGAACAGAUUCAUCAUUCUAGAAAUGUAUACUAACUGAA